CCCUGAACCGGGCUGGUUGUUACCCGGUCCAGUGGAUGGACGCAUCCCCCCGUGUCUUGCCUGGCCUAGGGAUGCGACUCGGGAAGAUCUGGCGGUAGCUGCUUUUUUGUACACAAGAGAAAUGAACUGGGCCUGGCCCGUAACGAGGAUAGCUUGGCUCUGAGAAGUCACAGGCGGCCUCUGUUUCUCAGGGCCAUGAGACCCACUGGGCUGAUUGUGCGGCAUGCUUUUCCAAAUUUUGCAGUGUCCGGCCUGGAUGAUCUGAAGCAAGAUGCAAAGAUGAAACUCAGGCACUCUGACAGAGAAUGGGAGUGUCUUUCUUACUGGAAAGGCACGUUUACAGAGAGAAGCAAAGAUGAGAUUUUCCAUCCACUGGUUCACUCCCCAAAUGGCCACAACAGCUGGAGCUGAAUCAAUCUGAAGCUGGGAGCACAAGCUUCCUUCAGGUCUCCCACACGGUAUAGCAUUCCAAGGCUUUAGGCCAUCUUCUGCUGCCCUCCCAGCCCACAAGCAGGGAGCUAGAUGGGAAGUGGAGCAACUGGGACAUGAACUGGUGGCCAUAUGGGAUCCCAGCACUUGGAGGUGGAGGAUCGGCCAAUUGAGCUGACACUGGGUCCCUGGGAGGCAUCUUAGCCAUUAGGCCAAAUGUCUACCCAUAGGAUAUGCUUUAUUUCCAAGUGUUUCAUGUGAAUUAGAACCCAGUCUCCCUAUGGUUCCAGCUGGGAGCUGGACAUGCUGCCAGUGCCAGCUUAUUCCUGGGUGGAAUCGGUGAUGACAGCAUUUACCUCCCAGAUCUCACUGGGGUUUCAGCAUGUUCCUAGGCUGUGUAUCUUUGGCCAGAUUCCUUCAACUCAGUUUGUUCACUGUCAGGAACUCAGAAUCAACCUUCCCCGGGACCUGCAGUGAGCCUGGCCACAAAGGACAGCUGGAGACACAGGUCCCCAUGUGGAUCCUGGGAAUGGACAUGCCUCAAGAGUUCAUGCUAGCGAAGGGUCUUCCUUGACAGGAACCUGAGUCCCGAGUCCCAACCACCCCGUCGAAUUCCCAACCCCAUCUCCCAGAGCCCUCCUGAUGUGUCUCCAAACAGCAGCAGGGCUUCCAUGGCCUCGGAAGGGUCCCUGCCCCCCUCAGCCCAGCGCCUAUGUGACUGAGGACCCAGUCACAGGGAACCUGAGGUGAGGGAACAUACUGGAAGAUAUCUCUUCUGUGGGCUGUGGAGGCCCUGCCAGCCGACGCCCUCUGUGGACCUUCGAAGCCCAGCGUGUAGACAGGGAUGUGUGCAAACUUCUUGGAAGGCAUCUUCAUCUGCAACACAUACAGGGCAAGUGGACAAGACUCCCUCCCCAGGCACAGGACCGCUGCGUGCUCAGAGUGCUGUGCUACCAACUACUGUGAGGCCUCUGCACACCCUGCUGAGCUGCCUGCUCCUCCAGGCAGGGACAGAAUCAGGCAGCAUUUCAUGAGGUGGGAGUUUUUUCUGGCCAAGAUGCAAUGGUAGCCCAGCAUGAUGGCUCAGUGUCUAAAUCCUUGCCUUACACGCGCCAGGAUCCUAUAUGGAUGCUGGUUCAUGUCACGGCUGCCACACUUCCCAUCCAGCUCCCUGCUUGUGGCCUGGGAAAGUAGUCAAGGAUGGCCCAGUGCCUUGGGACCCUGCACCUGCGUGCACCCAGAAGCUCCUAGCUUCAGAUUGGCUUAGCACUAGCCAUUGCAGCCAUUUGGGAAGUGAACCAGUGAACAGAAGAUCUUUCUAUAUCUCCUUUUCUCUGUAAAUGUGCCUUUCCAAUAACAAAAGCAUCUAAAAAAGAGAGAGAUGUAACGGUAGAAGUAUCUAGGAACUGA